rnacentral:rRNA from 1 species
GAUGAACGCUGGCGGCGUGCCUAAUACAUGCAAGUCGAACGCUUCACUUCGGUGAAGAGUGGCGAACGGGUGAGUAAUACCUAAGUAACCUGGCAUCUACAGGGGGAUAACUGAUGGAAACGUCAGCUAAGACCGCAUAGGUGUAGAGAUCGCAUGAACUCUAUAUGAAAAGUGCUACGGGACUGGUAGAUGAUGGACUUAUGGCGCAUUAGCUUGUUGGUAGGGUAACGGCCUACCAAGGCGACGAUUCGUAGCCGACCUGAGAGGGUGACCGGCCACACUGGGACUGAGACACGGCCCAGACUCCUACGGGAGGCAGCAGUAGGGAAUUUUCGGCAAUGGGGGGAACCCUGACCGAGCAACGCCGCGUGAAGGAAGAAGUAAUUCGUUAUGUAAACUUCUGUCAUAGAGGAAGAACGGUGGAUAUAGGGAAUGAUAUCCAAGUGACGGUACUCUAUAAGAAAGCCACGGCUAACUACGUG